rnacentral:lncRNA from 1 species
UGGUGAGGAAUUUGAACAAAAAUCUAAGUUGAAUUCUCUGCAUUAAAUUGCACUUAAUUCUAGACUAUCAAAUAAGUAGACCUGUUUAUAUUGUGGAAUUCUGGUGAGAAUAAGACUGUGUAAACAGGAGAAAUGUCAGAGCUGAUGAAAAGACUGAUGAGGUCCAUUCCACGUAUGUUUAUAGUUCUAACAGAAGCAAUAUUAGAGUAAACUAGCAGGACCAGACCUGUUGGACAAAACAUUAAAAAUAGAUUCGACGUUGUUUAGCUGGUUUUACAUUAUCUUGGAUAUUACGUGAAGAAGUAUGUUCCCAUUUCUGUGCCUUAAACUAAUAAUGUUGUAAACAAAAUUAUGUAAGAGCAUAUCUGCACAUACAUCAUGUCUAAUAUGCUAAGGAAUCUGAUGAAAAUUAAAAAAAUGAAUAAUAAAAGAAACCCUCAGAUAAUGUUCAGUUACAAGGAGAAUUGCAUGGACAACUUGUUUUCCUCAGAAAACUAAAUUUCCAUUUGUUUCUUUCAACAGAAUAUUGAGAAUUUGGAAAACUUACUACUGCAUCUCUGGAAAACUUAUCCUCCCCUUUUCUGUAGAUUUCCUUAAAAUCAAACAAACACUUCAUUGAAUUGACAGACAAGAAAAUUUAGAAUUUUUCUUAAAACUAAUUUUAAAACAUCCCCUGCACCAACCAACGCUACUAGAGUGUGCUAGAAAUACAGCAUAAGCAUUUAAUGAUCAAAUCCUAUGGUA